rnacentral:rRNA from 1 species
UGGAAUGAGUACAAUCUAAAUCCUUUAACGAGGAACAAUUGGAGGGCAAGUUCUGGUGCCAGCAGCCGCGGUAAUUCCAGCUCGAAUAGCGUAUAUUAAAGUUGUUGCAGUUAAAAAGCUCGUAGUUGGAUAUCAGGAGAUGAUUCACGGACUUCUCAAUGGAGCAACCGUGUUUUCGCUCCUUUUUGUACCGUUUCAUCGUUGAUGCACUUUAUUGUGUGUCACGUUUGAACGGCCUUUUUACUUUGAGAAAAUUAGCGUGCUUAACGCAGGCAUGAAAGCUUGUAUAAUGUUGCAUGGAAUAAUGAAAUAGGACCUCGGUUCUGUUUUGUUGGUUUCCGGAAGCUGAGGUAAUGAUUAAUAGGGACAGACGGGGGCAUUCGUAUUGUGGUGUUAGAGGUGAAAUUCUUGGAUCACCGCAAGACGAACAACUGCGAAAGCAUUUGCCAAGAAUGUUUUCAUUAAUCAAGAACGAAAGUUAGAGGUUCGAAGACGAUUAGAUACCGUCCUAGUUCUAACUAUAAACUAU